rnacentral:tRNA from 1 species
GGCCAUUUAGCUUAAUGGUAAAGCACUCAACCUGUACCUGAGAGGUACAUGGUUCAAUUCUUAUAGUUGCCC